GACGAACGCUGGCGGCGUGCUUAACACAUGCAAGUCGAGCGGAAAGGCCCCUUCGGGGGUACUCGAGCGGCGAACGGGUGAGUAACACGUGAGUAAUCUGCCCUUGGCUUCGGGAUAGCCACCGGAAACGGUGAUUAAUACCGGAUAUGACCACUUCCCGCAUGGGAUGGUGGUGGAAAGUUCUUUCGGCCAGGGAUGUGCUCGCGGCCUAUCAGCGUGAUGGUGAGGUAAUGGCUCACCAUGGCUUCGACGGGUAGCCGGCCUGAGAGGGUGGCCGGUCACACUGGGACUGAGACACGGCCCAGACUCCUACGGGAGGCAGCAGUGGGGAAUAUUGGACAAUGGGCGGAAGCCUGAUCCAGCAACGCCGCGUGAGGGAUGACGGCCUUCGGGUUGUAAACCUCUUUCAGCAGGGACGAAGCGCAAGUGACGGUACCUGCAGAAGAAGCACCGGCCAACUACGUGCCAGCCGCCGCAGUAAUAC
rnacentral:rRNA from 1 species